AUACGUAUGUCUCGAGCGUUACCCGGAAUCACUGGGUGUAAAGGGUUCGUAGGCGGUUUAAUAAGUUGGACAUGAAAGACCGGAGCUCAACUCCGUGUUUGUAUUCAAAACUGUUAAACUAGAAUUAGGGAGAGGUAAGCGGAAUUCUAAGUGUAGGGGUGCAAUCCGUAGAUACUUAGAGGAACACCAAAAGCGAAGGCAGCUUACUGGAACUAUAUUGACGCUGAGGAACGAAAGCGUGGGUAGCGAAAAGGAUUAGAUACCCUAGUAGUCC
rnacentral:rRNA from 1 species